ensembl:lncRNA
ACUCCCGGGGCAUCUGGUACUGGACACAUGGGGGCCCUGCUACAUGCCCUAAGGCUCCCCACACUCAGAGCUCCUCCCCCGCCCAGCAGGAAGCAGAAGCAGGGGUUGAGGUCACCCCACAUCCUUCUUUCCCACCACACUCACAACAUCACGUGCGUCGCACGCCAUGGCCGAACUUCCACUCCUGUUAGGAACCUCCCGUGUGGCAGGUUUUAGAUGCCACGGGUUAGGUUGGAGGCAGCAUCUGGAGUCCAGUUCCUCGGGUUCAAACCCCAGGUCCAGACUCAUCAUCCUCCACGGGCCUGCGCAUUUCAUACCCUCUGGGUGCCUCAGUUUCCCCAUCCUUAAACGAACCUGGCAUAGAGAAGCCCAAAAACCCUUGUGGCAUGAAACAGUGAAUGAGUGGCUGAUGUGCAGAGGGAAGGAGAGGGGCAGCUGAGAAGACAGAAGUCUGCAGUAGCAAGCUCAAGGUUGGUGACGAUUCAGGGCCACCGUCUGUAGGCCAUGAUCAGAGAGGGUGUGGGAAGAGACUUCCAAAUAUCUCCCAGGAUUUUUCUCAAGUGUCAACUUGCCAGUACUGAUUCAAGAGAGGGCUUCCAGAGAGAGAAGAAAAGGCAGGGCAGACCAGACUGAGUAAUAAGUGAUUCAAGUUCAACACACUUCUUCUAGAAGCUGUCAUAAUGAGCUGUGUGGUUAUGACAUGGUUUCUCUGUGGUCCUAGAGAAAUGAAUCUCAAACAUUAUUUGGUCUCCUUUACAUUGAGAUUUAAACAGAGCUAUUGAGAUCGUGGAGUUCAGAGGAGCCUGGAGUGCUACAGCCCAUGGGGUCUCAAAGGGUCAGACACAACUUAGCGGAUGAACAGCAACAAUAAGUAAACAAUCCAUUUUUCUUUAGUUAUGCUUUUAAUGAAGGAAAAGGGGCAAAGAUACACUGAGAGUGGCCAGCUACAUAGGAAACCGACCAGACUAGCCCAUGACCACAGUAUGGCAGACACAUCACACUGAACGUCGAGUCCACGGCGGUUGGAAUCAGGUCCCAGGGCCAGCCCUUCCCCCGCAUUCGGCUGUGGGCAGCAGGUAGAGGUGAUGCAGAGGGGCUGAGUCCUGUGUCAUUUUCAAGCAAGUGUGUCAUAAAGUUUCCUGUUUCAUCUCCCAGUUAUUCUGAAACAAAAACCAGGGAGAAGCUGAGAGCUCUACCUUCUCAGGACCAGGCUGUGAAGGUCUGAAAGCCCGAGGCUGGCUCAGACACAACCCGCCUGGAAUGUCGGUUUGAAACUUAAAAGCAACGACCAUUCAGUCAGUUAUUUCCCUCCAUUCCCAGUGAUGUCCACACGAUUGAGACUCAAAAAAAUAAAAAAAAUUUAAAAAGUGAGAGAGAGAAAAAAAAGGCGCACACCUCAGUCUUCAUUCUCAUUGGAACGAGAUGACUCAUGCUGACUCACAGCCACCACUUCCUCUCCCGACAUUCUCUUCAUACUUGUGAGCAGCCUAGUCCUGUUCCCAGGGUCUCUGCAGCCCUUCCUGGAAGAACAGCC